rnacentral:ncRNA from 3 species
UACGGAGGGUGCAAGCGUUAUCCGGAUUUACUGGGUUUAAAGGGUGUGUAGGCGGAUAUUUAAGUCAGAGGUGAAAUCUCCGGGCUCAACCCGGAAACUGCCUUUGAUACUAUUUAUCUUGAAUUUCGUUGAGGUUGGCGGAAUAUAUCAUGUAGCGGUGAAAUGCAUAGAUAUGAUAUAGAACACCGAUUGCGUAGGCAGCUGGCUGAACGACGAUUGACGCUGAGGCACGAAAGCGUGGGUAGCGAACAGG